UGGAAGCCAUUGCUCAUUUCCUGGUGGUU
rnacentral:piRNA from 1 species